UGCGGAGCCGCCGCCGCGGUGCCAGCCCCGCUGUGACGCAGGCAGCGGUGCCCGGGAACUUCCUCCUCUGCCUGAGACCACCAGGCGUCCUGGGCAGGCGGGUCCGCGCUGGGCGGGCCGCUGAGCACUGCGUCCCUCACCGGGAAAUCAAGCGUCUCCGAGGCUGAAUGAUUUCGCCGCUCGGAGCAGCCCACCUGGUUGGCACAGCAGGGAAGCAUUUAGUUUUACAGAUCUGCUUCACCAUCAAGUCUAGCCUCCGGUGCAGGGACUGUAUCUUCACCUUCAUGCCUGUUAUCAAUACCUAGCUCAGGACCUUCUAUGAAAUCCUAAUGUGAUUUCCAAUUCCAGUUUAUACUGAUUCUUUCAGUAUAACUCCUACUAAAAUAGAAGAACGUACCCCAGUUUACAGUUCCCAAGGGCUAGGAAUCCAUCAUGACAGGAAGCAUGGCAGCAAGCAGUGGGCAGGCGGCUGGAGCAGCAAGCUGACAACUUACACCUCCAACCACGAGCAUGAAGCAAAACAGAAGCAAACUUCUUAAUAAGGGAUCAUAAAGUGUGGCUCUGGGAGAGAACCGUUGUUCAGGUGAGCCAGUGAUAGAUAAGCAACUAUCACAUGGCACAGCCAUUACACCAUGGUCUAAGAAAUACACAUUUUAAUUUCCA